rnacentral:rRNA from 1 species
CCUACGGGAGACUGCAGUGGGGAAUAUUGCACAAUGGGGGAAACCCUGAUGCAGCGACGCCGCGUGAGCGAAGAAGUAUUUCGGUACGUAAAGCUCUAUCAGCAGGGAAGAAAAUGACGGUACCUGACUAAGAAGCCCCGGCUAACUACGUGCCAGCAGCCGCGGUAAUACGUAGGGGGCAAGCGUUAUCCGGAUUUACUGGGUGUAAAGGGAGCGUAGACGGCAGCGCAAGUCUGGAGUGAAAUCCCAUGGCUUAACCAUGGAACUGCUUUGGAAACUGUGCAGCUAGAGUGCAGGAGAGGUAAGCGGAAUUCCUAGUGUAGCGGUGAAAUGCGUAGAUAUUAGGAGGAACACCAGUGGCGAAGGCGGCUUACUGGACUGUAACUGACGUUGAGGCUCGAAAGCGUGGGGAGCAAACAGGAUUAGAUACCCGGGUAGUC